UCAGGAUUGGUGCAUUCGGAGCAAAAAAUAUUGAACAUGUAAGAGGACAUGUCUCUGCUCAUGCUUAAGGACAACUUAUUGUCUAUACAUAAUAAUGCAUCUCAUUACAUAUAUACAUCGGCUUGAUCUAUUUUGGUUGAAUCAUAAGUUAAUAGAAUCCAUUCAUUAAAUUAUAAGAGAAUAAAGAAUGACCUCUUCCCAGAGGGUCGUCAGCUGGGAGCAGGCUUCAUUCUCCGGGAUUCUGCGGGGAAGAUCGUGGCUGCUGGUUGUCAGCCAGUUGGUUACACCGAGACCGUUCUCCUUGGGGAACUUCACGUCAUGCUGCUCGCAAUUGGCUUCUGUCUUCAGGAGGACUUUGGCCCGGUGGUGUGUUUUUCAGAUUCUCUCCUUGCGAUCCACGUGCUCCAUGACUCCCACUCGGGCUCCGAAUCGCUUAGUGAUGAUCUCUUAGAGGCCUCUAAUCAUGCCCAGAAUUCCAUUGUGCUUGAGUUUUUUCAUGCCCGCCGUGAGGCGAAUAGAGCGCCCCACGAGCUCGCUCGCUUUGCUUUCUCUUGUAAUGAUGUAAUGAUCUGGAAGUCGGGUUUUCCUACCUGGCUUGUUGAUAUUACUCGUUCUGAUUUGAAUGAAUGAAGUUCGUUUUUCCUCUCAAAAAGAAUGACCUCUUCCCAAAAUUAUAUAUAAUUAAUCAGCUCCAUAUAAUUAUUAUAUGAACUAUAUAGAUAUAUAUUAUCUUUCAUGGCCUAUAAAGACAGAAAUGACUGAUGCAUAUACAAAUCGUAAGGAGAAAAAGAUGAAGAAGAGGCUUUCUAGGGGCAUCUCUAAAUAUUCAAAUAUGGUUUAGGAAUUUUGUCGAACAGUUGGUACACAAUAAAAUAUAACCAUUUACCAUCUAUCUCACAUAAAUUUCGUAGAUCAAACAACACACCUUUUAAUGGUAGACAUGCAGUUCGUGGAGUCGGCGACAAUGAGUUUCUGAAGUUCUUCUGAAAAUCCAAUGGUUGCUAAUAUCGAAAUGAAUUAAACAACAUGUAUGUAAUAAAACAAAUCUUUGAAACUAUGAUUUAUAGUCGAACAUUGAGCUGAUCGUAGUGAAACACCUCUGAGAUUGAGAAACGUUGCUGCUGAGAUUGAGAAAAAAAUAUUCUUUAUAAUAGGAAAAUGAGACUUGCCAUUCGGAAAUGCAGCUGUGAUUAGCGUGUGAAUAAUUUAUGGGAUUUACUAAUCUAAUUUUGUAAAAUGA
rnacentral:lncRNA from 1 species